rnacentral:SRP_RNA from 1 species
GCCGAGCUCAGCAACGUGAGCUUGUAACCCGAGUGGGGGCUUUGAGGUGCUGGAACAUUGUCCCAGUAUUAGCUGGUCGGGUUCGGGUUGGCUAUCUUCUGGCUCGCCCAUUCCAAGCCAGGAGUUGAGCCCUGUGGCUUGAGCGAAGGCUCUGGGUCACUGGGUUUCUAGAGUGGAGGGCACUGCGUAAGGCUGGCUUCACAGAGCAACGACUACCUCCCGCUAUUGGCAGUGGAAGGAUAACGGGUCGGUGCCACUCGGAUCCGCCAUGGCCUGCUAGACUGUCCCAAUUGAACCAAAACCUUUU